rnacentral:rRNA from 1 species
GAUGAACGCUGGCGGCGUGCCUAAUACAUGCAAGUCGAGCGAACAGACGAGGAGUUUGCUCCUCUGACGUUAGCGGCGGACGGGUGAGUAACACGUGGAUAACCUACCUAUAAGACUGGGAUAACUUCGGGAAACCGGAUCUAAUACCGGAUAAUAUAUUGAACCGCAUGGUUCAAUAGUGAAAGACGGUUUUGCGGUCAGUUAUAGAUGGAUCCGCGCCGCAUUAGCUAGUUGGUAAGGUAACGGGUUACCAAGGCAACGAUGCGUAGCCGACGUGAGAGAGUGGUAGCCCACACUGGAGCUGAGACACGGUCCAGACUCCUACGAGACGCAGCAGUAGGGAAUCUUCCGCAGUGGGCGAAAGCCUGACGCAGCGACGCCGCGUGUGUGAUGACAAUCUUCGGUUCGUAAAACUCUGUUAUUAGUGAAAAACAAAUGUGUAAGUAACUAUGCACGUCUUGACGGUACCUAAUCAAAAAGCCCCGGCUAACUACGUG